rnacentral:tRNA from 1 species
GUCGGUGCAUCCCGAUUGGCCUUGAGGACAGAGACUUAAAAUCUUUUGACGGUAAGCAUUCCGUAUGUGGGUUCGAAUCCCAUCACCGACA